UUUCCAGAUCUCUACAUGUAUGCCGUCCUCGUGUGCUGUGUGGGCAUCCUCAGUGUCCUGCUGUUCACCCUGGUCAUCAUCUGCCAGUCUGUGUUCCACAAGAGGAAGUCCAGAGUGAGACAUUAUUUGGUGAAAUGUCCUCAGAACAGCUCUGGGGAGACUGUCACUAGCAUGACCAGUUUGGCCCCACUGCAGCCAAAGAAGGGCAAGAGGCGGAAGGAGAAGGUGGAUGUGCCCCCCGAAGUCCCCGCCAAAGGCCAAAGCUCCUGAAGCCACAGAGGAAGGGUGCCCUGCCAAAGAUCACCGAGGAGAACUUGACCUAUGCCGAGCUGGAGCUGACCAAGCCGCCCCGGGCUGCCAAGGGCACCCCAACUAGCACUGUCUACGCUCAGAUCCUCUUUGAGAGAACAAGCUGUAGGCCCCAGGUCCCUGCAUCCCCACUGCCCAGUUAUUUAUGAAACCUCGGGGGACACAGCCCCUCCUGUGGUUCUCUCCAUUGUGCCAGUGUGUGUUGGGGCCCCUUCCCAGUGGCACUCCUGGUCCCGCCACAUCAGAGUGACUCUGCCCUCCUCAAGGACAGGUAGCUCUACGCCCCAGCCCCAGGCCGAGGACGCUGCCUGAGUGUACCUGGGAACACUGUCUGCUGAGCCAUCCCAUCCACAUCUCCUCCUCCUCUCCUGGAUUUUAAUUUGUUAAAAUCUUUUCUAAAUCUUAAUUUUAACCUUCCACACUGCCAGUAUACGUGAUACCAAGCUACAGGAAAUGCCAUUAUAAGCCACAGCAUGAGACAAUAGAUACAUAGUAAUUGGCUUUCAGAGACCCAAAUGGCAUCAUCAGAGCACCCCGGGCCCAGCAAGCCAAAGAUGGCAGCAGCUACUUCGAUGGCAUCCAUUGUUUAAAAUAGAUGUGCUGAUCCUAGUAAGUAUGGAGGGGCCAUGGGCGAAUCUGAGGUCUCAGAGAACUCUGUACCUGCCAGCCUACGACAAUCCAGAGGCCACAGGCCAAGUUCACCUUUCUGAAGGCCUCACCAGGGAGUUUGCCACCAAUGGACUGUGGAGCAAGCGGCCUUGCCAAAAUGUGCCACACUGUCUUCUCCUUCCGGUCUCCACUGUGGGAAAGCGAAGUCUUCCCCCAGGUCCCCUCAAGGAAGGAGCAAAGGACACACACACCACCCUGGAGCCUGUGUCUCAAGGGCCCUUCUCUUGCCAUGCGCCUUGCCCGCCUCCACCUCGUCUGUGAACUCAAAUGGGGUUGGACAGGUGCAGGGCUGCGUGGCCUUGCCAUGCAUACGGGAGCUGGGACUGGUUGAGCGCCAUCCCUUCUGCACAUGGUGCUGGUCCCUACUGUUCUGUCUGUGAGUGUACUCUGGGUGGCCAUAGCCUGCACACACACUAUAUAUAGAAAUGAUUUGUCUAUGUAGUAUGCCGUAUAUAUGGGACAAGUUAUCUAUUUUAAACACAACCAGGGUGUGGGUUGUGUCCCGCUAUAUCACAGUGUGACUUUGGAUUUCUUAUCCAUUGAGAGCCUUGGGUUCUCUGUGAGUGCAAAGGUAACCUAAUCUCUCCUAGAAUUCUUGAGGGCAUAAAUAAGGUAGUGAGUACAACCGGAUUCUGAAGACUGAAUCCUUUCACCGAGAAUGGCUGUUGAUAUUCAUGUUAAAGCCAGUCUUCAUUUCCACAGUGAAAAUUUCUAAGACUCAGUUCUUUAAAUUUAACCACUUACCAGUCCCAUUAUUUAAAUACACGAUGACCAAAAUUUGCAUUUUUUUUUGUUAAUUUUAAUAAGAUAAUAUAACAGGAAAUAUAAAAAUGACAAUCAAAUUUAUUCAGUGCAAGAAAUGACACCCGCCCUGAGGGAUGCUCGGGAUAAAUUGUUAAUUUGUUAAAAGCGGUAUCUCACAUGAAUGCUCCCAAAGACUCGUGAUCCUGUGACAGCUGCUCGUGAUUUAAGGAAAGGGUCCAAAUGAAAGCAGAUGCUGGUUUCCUGGAAGUAAAGACAGCCCACCUUGACAAAGUGGAAGUCCUCCCUCCUGGCUGAAACCUGUGUCUCCUUCCUGCUGCAGAUCUGAAAGACCGUGAAUACGUCAUUAGCUUUCGUGGAAGACCAUUUGGGAGAAUACUCUAGAACUUCUUAGCAUCUUUGGGAGGGUAAGGUAUAUGGUUAGCACACCAUUCGUACAGUAAUUACCAUUGGAGAUUUUUUAUUUUGUCAUGGCAGUGUUCCAACAGAUGGACAGGGUGAUUUCCUAAUUUACGUAUGGACAAGUGGGGCCACCAAGUGCCAAGGGGGUAGGAGAUGAUGGGGAAAGGGUAAUGGAGGCGGAGGCAAUAUCUUCUUAGGCCCCAGGUCCCCAAAUCAACCCUUUUAAAUGCAGCCAGAGCUUAGGGUCAUCACAUAAUGGAAAUGAACACAUUUCAACCAAGCACUGCCCAGAAUGGAAGGAAUGGACUGUUUGUGCCUGGCACUCACUUAAGGUGACCAAUGUUGACAUUCUUGCUGUUGUAGGCUAAAACAAUGUGUCUACUCAUUCACUGUCUAUCAAACAGACCACCAAUCAUGCACUACCAUUUCUAAAGAUAAGAGGGAAUAUAUUAUUUAAUUAGAAGGUAGCAAACUUUCUUCAGUUUGUUCCUACUAUAAGGCCUCAUUGGUAGCAGAAACGGGUGAGUUGCUUUCAAAACAAUCGCUUGUCUGCUUAAAGAAGGGAAAACAUGGGUCCCUUGCUCCUUGCAGGCAGAGAGCAGACACACUGAGAGCUGGUGGCAGUGAGUUUCAGCCCAGGCCACGGUAGGUAGGAAGCCAGGAGGGGAACAUAUCAGCCAUGCCAGAGCCCUGGUGGAGGGGGAGGGCUAGGGCCCCUUUUGAUCACUUCUUCCUUCACCACUGUGACCCUGUCAGCACACAGGGACAAGAAGGGAGGGCCUGGCCUGCCGCCUCCUGUUUCUUUUCUUUUUUUUUUUUUAAUUAAAUUCUUUUAUUGGUACAUUGUAGGUAGACAACACAAUUACAUUUCUCACUGGGAAUUGUACCUUUAUAUGAUGCAUCUUGGUUCUUAUAUUUUCCCCAUUCCUAGCCCUCCCUUCACCCCCUCCACCCUUCCCUAUUUACAAAGACUUUAUUUCCAUUUUUUCCAUUUCUCAUAAUUUUUCCUUUCCCUUCUUUCCUUUCCUCUGCCCCUCCCACUACCCCUACCCUUUUGGAUCUUUUCUUCCUAUUUUGCAUUAUCGAUUAUUCAUUCUAAUCAUUGGUACAUUUUAGGUAUACAAUAUAAUGACAUUCAUCAUUGGAAAUUUGCACCUUUACAUAGUCUCUCUUGGUUCUUAUAUUUCACUCCCCUUGCCCAGCCCUCCCUUCAACCCCUCCAGUCCUCUUUAUUUACAAAGAUUUUGUUCCUAUUUUUCCAUGUUCUCAUAUUAAUCCCAUUCCCUUCUAUCCUUUCCCCUAGCCCUCCCACUUCCUUCCCCUUUGCCCCUUUUCUUCCUAUUUCACAUUACCUAUUAUACAUUUAGUCCUUAUUUACACUUUCAGUUUCUCACACCAGAGAAACUAUUCAGUAUUUAUGCAUGUGUGUCUUAUUUAUUUCACUUAAGAGUAUGGC
ensembl:lncRNA